GGCGGCGGCAGCAGCGAUGGCAGGAAUAGAGUUGGAGCGGUGCCAGCAGCAGGCGAACGAGGUGACGGAAAUUAUGCGUAACAACUUCGGCAAGGUCCUGGAGCGUGGUGUGAAGCUGGCCGAACUGCAGCAGCGUUCAGACCAACUCCUGGAUAUGGUAGCUCAACCUUCAACAAGACUACACAGAACCUGGCCCAGAAGAAGUGCUGGGAGAACAUCCGUUACCGGAUCUGCGUGGGGCUGGUGGUGGUUGGUGUCCUGCUCAUCAUCCUGAUUGUGCUGCUGGUCGUCUUUCUCCCUCAGAGCAGUGACAGCAGUAGUGCCCCACGGACCCAGGAUGCAGGCAUUGCCUCAGGGCCUGGGAACUGACCCAGCUGGUCCUGAAGGAGAAGCCAAAUGGCUGCACUGGCCGAUUCUGGUCUCCAGAGGACCUUGGUGUUUGCUCUCCCUUGACCCACCCCAGUGAGUGCCAAAGGGCAGCCCCAACAUGUGCACCCCUGCAUUUCCUGUCAUGCCACAGACUGGCCCUUGAGGGCAGCCUGCUGUACUGGCCAUGCUGGGCCAGCCCCACCUGGAGCUCAGUAAAAACUGCUGUUUGAUUA
rnacentral:lncRNA from 1 species